rnacentral:rRNA from 1 species
CCGGGAAACUGGAAUUAAUACCGCAUACGCCCUACGGGGGAAAGAUUUAUCGGGGUAUGAUGAGCCCGCGUUGGAUUAGCUAGUUGGUGGGGUAAAGGCCUACCAAGGCGACGAUCCAUAGCUGGUCUGAGAGGAUGAUCAGCCACAUUGGGACUGAGACACGGCCCAAACUCCUACGGGAGGCAGCAGUGGGGAAUAUUGGACAAUGGGCGCAAGCCUGAUCCAGCCAUGCCGCGUGAGUGAUGAAGGCCUUAGGGUUGUAAAGCUCUUUCACCGGAGAAGAUAAUGACGGUAUCCGGAGAAGAAGCCCCGGCUAACUUCGUGCCAGCAGCCGCGGUAAUACGAAGGGGGCUAGCGUUGUUCGGAAUUACUGGGCGUAAAGCGCACGUAGGCGGAUAUUUAGUCAGGGGUGAAAUCCCAGA